GCCGGCGCGCAGGUCGCGGGGACGGUACCUUGAAAAGAGCUGAGCAGAAGAAUAGGCACUAGUUUACUUGAACAUAAAAUACCAUUCAGCCAAUGAACUGUUAUUCAGCAUGAACAAUUAUCCUAAACAUAACAUGAGCAAAGAUUUGGAAAAGCUGAAAACGUCGUUCAUUCAGUCUAAGCAGAGAAGCCCAGAAAAUCUCAGAGAGAUUUCAAGCUGAAAGUGUGAUUCUGAGACAAGGACACGUACCCUUGGAAUGCUACUUGGUUCGUGCUGGACAUUUAAAGGUCAUGUCAAGUAAUAUAAGCAUGAACAAAAAUACCAACUCUGAAAUUUUAAGUGACUUUGAAGAAGGUGACUUCAUAGGGAUAAACACUGUCUCAAUUUGUUGGUCUCUCAUCAUCAGUUUUUAAAAUUAAGAUUAAAAAAUUUUAUGUAUCAUUGCACUAAAAUAAUUAGCAUAGUAUACUAUAAUAUUGUCCUUGAGUCUUAAAUAUUUUAGUAAUUGAAAUGCAUAGUAGAAACAGUUUUCCUUAGCACUGUAGAGCCAAUAUAUAGCCUAUUAUAUAGUUUGUCAAUGUGGAGGACAUACGAGAUUAUCAAAUGACUUAUAUGAGUGACUGACUGGUUAAAUGAACGAGUUACAAAUC